CCAUAUCAAGAUUUCCUUUGUCUAUCGUGAACUAAAUUUAUAUUGAAUUUAAACUGACCAAUCACAUUAGUGACGUGAAGUUUGAUUCAUUUAUUGUUUUUCGCGUCCCGUUGCUCCUCCGUGUGGCAUAAACAUUAAUGCUCAGUUGGCUGAUCGAAUUGAAUGUCCCCCAACAAAAAAUCAAACGUACCACGUUUCCACGCAUGCGCAUUAGGCUUGUUUACGGAUGCGAGAGCGAAAGCUACGAGGCAGACCGGGAAAGAGAUCCAGAGCAUUUUAUCGGUCGAUACGCCAAAUAAAAAAAUGCUUCUGUCAUGUGUUAUGAAGUGAAAACAGGAACACAGCGGAUCUCCUCCCAACUAGAACGGCGUUCCGUCUCGAAAUCUUUUAACGGAACGCCGCUCCGGACCGAUACGGCUUACUUUCACCUCUGCCCUCAUCCCAGCCGCUUCACACUCGACUGCAAACCGCCCGAAUGCGUGCUGGAAGUCCUGGCUUGAUGAUGCCAACAGCACAACAUCAUCUGCAAAGAGCUGAGAAGAAAUCCUGUGCGCCUAGAAAUUCUGUCCAUAAAAACUGUUAACAGAACCGGUGAUAAAGGGCAGCCCUGCUGGAGUACAACAUGCACAGUUGUCUGAAGUAUUGCCGCCUACGGGACAGCUCUUGCUCCGGACAGACACAGACCGGACAGCCAUCAGUAAGGCUCCCCGGACCCCAUACUCCCAGAGCACCCUCCACAUGAUACCACGGGGGAUGUGGUCAAACACCUUCUCCAAAUCUAUAUAACACAUAUGAACAUUGUGUUGCUUCAGAAUUGUUUGGGAUUAUUUAAAAGAGAACGAACAGGAGCCACGCCAGCCAUUGUCAAACAGGGUUGUGCCUCCCUUGGCAGUGUGCAGACCUUGCAGUCACGCCUUCCUGCAGGAGGAGCAUCAGACAGCGACAAUUUAAAGCUGGGAGCUGUUCAUUGCUCACACACCAAUCUUCACCUUCACCAGCCAUGGAUAAACUCAAGUCUAUGAUAGGGUCAAAUCCUGAUGCCGUCGAACAAGCCGGCAAGAAAGCAGGUCAAAUGGUGGAGCAAGCGGUGAAGAGUGCUUUGAGUGGGAAAGACGGACAGAAAGGAAAGACGAAGGCAGGAGGACAAGCGGGGCCGAAGGUGGAAGGACAAGGAGGAGGAAAGGCGGGAGUGAAGGUGGAAGGACAAGGAGGAGGACAGGCGGGGGUGAAGGUGGAAGGACAAGGAGGAGGACAGGCGGGGGUGAAGGUGGAAGGACAAAAAGGAGGAGCAGAAGCGAAGAAGCAAGGAGAAGGGGACUUUGAUCUUGAUGAUGCACUUUCUGCAAUCUAAGGAGGCAAAAAGGAAGGAGGUUCGAAAGGGUUCCUGGGAGAAUUCGGCCUGUAAAAACUCAGCAGAAUCUUCAUCAGCUUCAUCCAUGUCUGCCACAGGACCAACUGAAGUCUGAGUCCACAUUUUUAUGUCAGAUUUCCUACAUGAAAGACCAUCAACUUAUUGUGAUAUACUCAACAAAAAUAAAUUUCCUUAAAGUCAAA